rnacentral:rRNA from 1 species
UACGGAGGGGGUUAGCGUUGUUCGGAAUGACUGGGCGUAAAGCGCGCGUAGGCGGAUCAGGAGGUUGGGGGUGAAAUCCCGGGGCUCAACCCCGGAAUGGCCUUCAAAACUCCUGGUCUUGAGUUCGAGAGAGGUGAGUGGAAUUCCGAGUGUAGAGGUGAAAUUCGUAGAUAUUCGGAGGAACACCAGUGGCGAAGGCGGCUGCACUGGCUCGACACUGACGCUGAGGUGCGAAAGCGUGGGGAUCAAACAGG